UACAGAGGUGGCAAGCGUUGUUCGGAAUUACUGGGCGUAAAGGGCGCGUAGGCGGCCUUCUAAGUCAGACGUGAAAUCCCCCGGCUUAACCUGGGAACUGCGUCUGAUACUGGAGGGCUUGAGUGCGGGAGAGGGAUGUGGAAUUCCAGGUGUAGCGGUGAAAUGCGUAGAUAUCAGGAGGAACACCUGCGGUGUAGACGGCUUACUGGACCAUAACUGACGCUGAGGCACGAAAGCGUGGGUAGCAAACAGG
rnacentral:rRNA from 1 species